rnacentral:rRNA from 1 species
UAGGGAAUCUUCCACAAUGGACGAAAGUCUGAUGGAGCAACGCCGCGUGAGUGAAGAAGGGUUUCGGCUCGUAAAACUCUGUUGUUAAAGAAGAACAUAUCUGAGAGUAACCGUUCAGGUAUUGACGGUAUUUAACCAGAAAGCCACGGCUAACUACGUGCCAG